GACGAACGCUGGCGGCGUGCCUAAUACAUGCAAGUUGAGCGCUGAAGGUUGGUACUUGUACCGACUGGAUGAGCAGCGAACGGGUGAGUAACGCGUGGGGAAUCUGCCUUUGAGCGGGGGACAACAUUUGGAAACGAAUGCUAAUACCGCAUAAAAACUUUAAACACAAGUUUUAAGUUUGAAAGAUGCAAUUGCAUCACUCAAAGAUGAUCCCGCGUUGUAUUAGCUAGUUGGUGAGGUAAAGGCUCACCAAGGCGAUGAUACAUAGCCGACCUGAGAGGGUGAUCGGCCACAUUGGGACGGAGACACGGCCCAAACGCAUACGGGAGGCAGCAGUAGGGAAUCGUCGGCAAUGGACGAAAGUCUGACCGAGCAACGCCGCGGGAGUGAAGAAGGUUGUCGGAUCGUAAAACUCGGUUGGUAGAGAAGAACGUUGGUGAGAGUGGAAAGCUCAUCAAGUGACGGUAACUACCCAGAAAGGGACGGCUAACUACGUG
rnacentral:rRNA from 1 species